AUUGAACGCUGGCAGCAGGCCUAACACAUGCAAGUCGAACGAGUGGCGGACGGGUGAGUAAUGUCUGGGAAACUGCCUGAUGGAGGGGGAUAACUACUGGAAACGGUAGCUAAUACCGCAUACAAUCGGAUGCACCCAGAUGGGAUUAGCUAGUUGGUGGGGUAAUGGCUCACCAGGGCGACGAUCUCUAGCUGUUCUGAGAGGAUGACAGGGCAUCUUGGGACGGAGACACGUUCCUGAAUCCUACGGGAGGCAGGAGUGGGGAAUAGUGCACAUUGGGCGCAAGCCUGAUGCAGCCAUGCCGCGUGUAUGAAGAAGGCCUUCGGGUUGUAAAGUACUUUCAGCGGGGAGGCGUUACCCGCAGAAGAAGCACCGGCUAACUCCGUGCCAGCAGCCGCGGGAAUAC
rnacentral:rRNA from 1 species